rnacentral:rRNA from 1 species
UACGUAGGGUGCAAGCGUUGUCCGGAAUCAUUGGGCGUAAAGAGCGUGUAGGCGGUUCAGUAAGUCGGGCGUGAAAACUUUGGGCUUAACCCAAAGCGUGCAUCCGAUACUGCUGUGACUUGAGUUCGGUAGGGGAGUGGGGAAUUCCUAGUGUAGCGGUGAAAUGCGCAGAUAUUAGGAGGAACACCGGUGGCGAAGGCGCCACUCUGGGCCGAAACUGACGCUGAGGAGCGAAAGCAUGGGUAGCAAACAGG